rnacentral:rRNA from 1 species
UGGGGAAUAUUGCACAAUGGGCGCAAGCCUGAUGCAGCCAUGCCGCGUGUGUGAAGAAGGCUCUAGGGUUGUAAAGCACUUUCAGCGAGGAGGAAAGGUUUAAGGUUAAUACCCUUGAGCUGUGACGUUACUCGCAGAAGAAGCACCGGCUAACUCCGUGCCAGCAGCCGCGGUAAUACGGAGGGUGCAAGCGUUAAUCGGAAUUACUGGGCGUAAAGCGUGCGUAGGCGGCUACUUAAGUGGAAUGUGAAAGCCCCGGGCUCAACCUGGGAACUGCAUCCCAAACUGGGUAGCUAGAGUACGGCAGAGGAGUGUGGAAUUUCCUGUGUAGCGGUGAAAUGCGUAGAUAUAGGAAGGAACACCAGUGGCGAAGGCGACACUCUGGGCUGAUACUGACGCUGAGGUACGAAAGCGUGGGGAGCAAACA